rnacentral:rRNA from 1 species
UGGGGAAUAUUGCACAAUGGGGGGAACCCUGAUGCAGCGACGCCGCGUGAGCGAAGAAGUAUUUCGGUAUGUAAAGCUCUAUCAGCAGGGAAGAAGAUGACGGUACCUGAGUAAGAAGCUCCGGCUAAAUACGUGCC